rnacentral:rRNA from 1 species
AUUGAACGCUGGCGGCAUGCCUUACACAUGCAAGUCGAACGGUAACAGGUCUUCGGAUGCUGACGAGUGGCGAACGGGUGAGUAAUACAUCGGAACGUGCCUAGUAGUGGGGGAUAACUACUCGAAAGAGUGGCUAAUACCGCAUGAGAUCUACGGAUGAAAGCAGGGGAUGGCAAGACCCUGUGCUACUAGAGCGGCCGAUGGCAAAUUAGGUAGUUGGUGGGAUAAAAGCUUACCAAGCCGACGAUCUGUAGCUGGUCUGAGAGGACGAUCAGCCACACUGGGACUGAGACACGGCCCAGACUCCUACGGGAGGCAGCAGUGGGGAAUUUUGGACAAUGGGCGCAAGCCUGAUCCAGCAAUGCCGCGUGCAGGAUGAAGGCCUUCGGGUUGUAAACUGCUUUUGUACGGAACGAAAAGCCCUGGGUUAAUACCCUGGGGUCAUGACGGUACCGUAAGAAUAAGCACCGGCUAACUACGUGCCAGCCGCCGCCGUAAGAC